rnacentral:lncRNA from 1 species
CAGUAUUUCUAAGGAUCUGUUGCUAGCUAAUUUCUAAAUCUUUUAAAUUCCCUCCUAGCAGUGAAGCCCCAGAGCAGUGCAAAACCAAUGUCACAUGGUGGUCAGUGAAACUGAGAACACAGCAGUACCAAGUCAGAUGGGAAGCACCAUGCAGCCAGUGGUGAAACAUAUUGAUAACUUCAGAAGACACUUGCAAAAUCUCAGCUCUGUGACUUGGGAACAUCUGAGGGAAGAAAAAAAGGAUAUGUGUUUCCUAUAAGAUACUUAAUAUGCAGCAACUAAUAUUAAAUCAAAUCCUUGUAAAACAUUUCUGUCUGCAGGUCCCAUUUGAGUUAGGAGAUGAAUGUUUUUACUUGGUAAGGAAAUACACAGUUUAAACCAGUCUACUAAUUUCUGUGGUAAUUAUACAUUGAUUUGUCUUUACCUGAAUUUCUAUCUCAUGCCUCAGUACCAUUAGGAAGAUUGUCUGGAUGUUGUUUUGUUUUAUUCCUUCGUGAAAAGAAGACCUUACGUUCUCCUUCUAGAGAUCUAUGGGGCCAUGCAAUAGGUUAACAGUAAAGUUAGAGGUCAUUCUUCUUGAUUUCUUCUGGAAUACUCAUCAGUUUUGUUCAAAAUAUAUCAAAGUGGAUAUUAAAAGGAAAAGAUCUUAAUGUAAUCUGAAAGAAUUCAAAUCUGCUAGCAUUCUGCAAACUCUCCUGUUAGGCUAUACUGAGCGGGUGAUGAGUGUUGAAUUCUUCAAAUCCAGGUUUUGCUACAUAAACUAGCAGUAAUGAGUAAAUACGUAUACUAACCUAUCAUCCAGAAGCAACUUGUGAUACUCUUUCAUUAUCUGCCAUGCCAAAAAGUUAGGACUGGGAUUUAGGCUGGUGAGCCUCACCUCUGUGCCUGGUCUGAGACAGCCAGCAUGGCUUUACCAAAGGAAGGUCAUGUCUGACCAAUCUGG